rnacentral:rRNA from 1 species
GACGAACGCUGGCGGCGUGCCUAAUACAUGCAAGUAGAACGCUGAAGCGAGGAGCUUGCUCUUCUUGGAUGAGUUGCGAACGGGUGAGUAACGCGUAGGUAACCUGCCUUGUAGCGGGGGAUAACUAUUGGAAACGAUAGCUAAUACCGCAUAACAAUGGAUGACACAUGUCAUUUAUUUGAAAGGGGCAAUUGCUCCACUACAAGAUGGACCUGCGUUGUAUUAGCUAGUAGGUGAGGUAAUGGCUCACCUAGGCGACGAUACAUAGCCGACCUGAGAGGGUGAGCGGCCACACUGGGACUGAGACACGGCCCAGACUCCUACGGGAGGCAGCAGGAGGGAAUCUUCGGCAAUGGGGGCAACCCUGACCGAGCAACGCCGCGUGAGUGAAGAAGGGUUUCGGAUCGUAAAGCUCUGUUGUAAGUCAAGAACGGGUGUGAGAGUGGAAAGUUCACACUGUGACGGUAGCUUACCAGAAAGGGACGGCUAACUACGUG